CCUUCCUUAGCUCAGUUGGUAGAGCAGUGGACUGUAGUUCCAUUUGUCAUCUGUUCGAUUCAGAUAGGGAGGA
rnacentral:tRNA from 1 species